rnacentral:rRNA from 1 species
UACAGAGGUCCCAAGCGUUGUUCGGAUUCACUGGGCGUAAAGGGUGCGUAGGUGGUCGGGUAAGUCUGAUGUGAAAUCUUCGAGCUCAACUCGAAAAUGGCAUUGGAUACUAUUCGGCUGGAGGGUUGGAAAGGGGACUGGAAUUCUCGGUGUAGCAGUGAAAUGCGUAGAUAUCGAGAGGAACACCGGUGGCGAAGGCGAGUCCCUGGACAAUUCCUGACACUGAGGCACGAAAGCUAGGGGAGCAAACAGG